rnacentral:rRNA from 1 species
CAGCAGCCGCGGUAAUACGGAGGGUGCAAGCGUUAAUCGGAAUUACUGGGCGUAAAGCGCACGCAGGCGGUUUGUUAAGUCAGAUGUGAAAUCCCAGAGCUUAACUUGGGAACUGCAUUUGAAACUGGCAAGCUAGAGUCUUGUAGAGGGGGGUAGAAUUCCAGGUGUAGCGGUGAAAUGCGUAGAGAUCUGGAGGAAUACCGGUGGCGAAGGCGGCCCCCUGGACAAAGACUGACGCUCAGGUGCGAAAGCGUGGGGAGCAAACAGGAUUAGAGACCUCUGUAGUCCCUGUCUCUUAUAA